UCGGUUCUUCUGCGCCUUACAAAGUGUUUCCAGACUCUCAACCAUUCUUGAGGUGGGCACGGGAGAAGGGCCUGAAAGUUGGAAUGGUCAUGCAGAGUACAGUUAUAAGGAUGUCAUUCUUCCAGCCCUGGGAUUAAAUGUGGUUUAAGACGCCCGAUGCUGAGGAGUGGAGGAAAUCUGGUGCUGUUGUCCUCCCGGCCUUGAUUGCAGCCCAGAAAUGGCUUACUUUGGACAAUAAUACCUUAUCGUGGGGAUGAGGUCGGAAGAGGUUCCGUUUGUUUCUUCCUGCAGAAAUUGAUUUCUAUUGUAUGUCCCAUGUUGCUCUAGCUGUUUGAUCAAAUCCACUUCAAUGAGAUGUAAGAGCCCUGCCUAAGGUCAUUACUUGACCUUUCCAUUAUAAGGGAGAUACAGUAAUAUUGCAUUCACUGGGUCGGGUUAUAAUUCGACCACAGCCAUAGCACUGA